AUUGAACGCUGGCGGAAUGCUUUACACAUGCAAGUCGAACGGUAGAGGGGGCAACCCCUCGAGAGUGGGCGAACGGGUGAGUAAUAUAUCGGAACGUGCCCAGUCGUGGGGGAUAACGUAGCGAAAGUUACGCUAAUACCGCAUACGAUCUAAGGAUGAAAGCGGGGGAUCGCAAGACCUCGCGCGAUUGGAGCGGCCGAUAUCAGAUUAGGUAGUUGGUGGGGUAAAGGCUCACCAAGCCAACGAUCUGUAGCUGGUCUGAGAGGACGACCAGCCACACUGGAACUGAGACACGGUCCAGACUCCUACGGGAGGCAGCAGUGGGGAAUUUUGGACAAUGGACGCAAGUCUGAUCCAGCCAUUCCGCGUGCAGGAUGAAGGCCCUCGGGUUGUAAACUGCUUUGUACGG
rnacentral:rRNA from 1 species